GAUGAAGAACGUAGCGAAAUGCGAUAAGUAAUGUGAAUUGCAGAAUUCAGUGAAUCAUCGAAUCUUUGAACGCACAUUGCGCCCCCUGGUAUUCCGGGGGGCAUGCCUGUCCGAGCGUCAUUACAACCCUCAAGCUCAGCUUGGUGUUGGGCCCCGCCGCCCAGCGGGCCCUAAAGUCAGUGGCGGUGCCGUCCGGCUCCGAGCGUAGUAAUUCUUCUCGCUCUGGAGGUCCGGUCGUGUGCUCGCCAGCAACCCCCAAUUUUUUUCAGGUUGACCUCGGAUCAGGUAGGGAUACCCGCUGAACUUAAGCAUAUCAAUAAGCGGAGGA
rnacentral:misc_RNA from 1 species